UACGGGGGGGGCAAGCGUUGUUCGGAAUUACUGGGCGUAAAGGGCUCGUAGGUGGCCAACUAAGUCAGACGUGAAAUCCCCAGGCUCAACUUGGGAACUGCGUCUGAUACUGGAUGGCUUGAAUUCGGGAGAGGGAUGCAGAAUUCCAGGUGUAGCGGUGAAGUGCGUAGAUAUCUGGAGGAAUACCGGUGGCGAAGGCGGCAUCCUGGACCGAGAUUGACACUGAUGAGCGAAAGCUAGGGGAGCAAACGGG
rnacentral:rRNA from 1 species